rnacentral:rRNA from 1 species
CGUAGGUGGCAAGCGUUGUCCGGAUUUAUUGGGUUUAAAGGGUGCGUAGGCGGCUUUGUAAGUCAGUGGUGAAAUACUCCAGCUCAACUGGAGAGGUGCCAUUGAUACUGCAGAGCUAGAGUACUGAUGAGGUAGGCGGAAUGGACGGUGUAGCGGUGAAAUGCUUAGAUAUCGUCCAGAACACCGAUAGCGAAGGCAGCUUACUAAAGAGUAACUGACGCUGAGGCACGAAAGUGUGGGGAUCAAACAGGAUUAGAUACCCUGGUAGUCCACACUGUAAACGUUGAUCACUAGAUGUUGGCGAUACACUGCCAGCGUUCCAGCAAAAGCGAUAAGUGAUCCACCUGGGGAGCACGCCCGCAAGGGUG